rnacentral:rRNA from 1 species
GACGAACGCUGGCGGCGUGCCUAACACAUGCAAGUCGAACGGGACUGAAUCUGACACCGGAAACUCAGUUGCGGUGCAGAAAAGCAUCGGAAGUGAAUAGCCGGUGUUGGAUUUAGUUCAGUGGCGGACGGGUGAGUAACGCGUGAGGAACCUGCCUUUCAGAGGGGGAUAGCGUCUGGAAACGGACGGUAAUACCGCAUGACAUCUUCGAGCCACAUGGCUUGGGGACCAAAGGAGCAAUCCGCUGAAAGAUGGACUCGCGUCCGAUUAGCCAGUUGGCGGGGUAAUGGCCCACCAAAGCGACGAUCGGUAGCCGGACUGAGAGGUUGAACGGCCACAUUGGGACUGAGACACGGCCCAGACUCCUACGGGAGGCAGCAGUGGGGGAUAUUGCACAAUGGAGGAAACUCUGAUGCAGCAACGCCGCGUGAAGGAAGACGGUCUUCGGAUUGUAAACUUAUGUCCUCGCUGACGAUAAUGACGGUAGGCGAGGAGGAAGCUCCGGCUAACUACGUG